rnacentral:rRNA from 1 species
CAGCAGCCGCGGUAAUACGGAGGGAGCUAGCGUUGUUCGGAAUUACUGGGCGUAAAGCGCGCGUAGGCGGUUACUCAAGUCAGAGGUGAAAGCCCGGGGCUCAACCCCGGAACUGCCUUUGAAACUAGGUGACUAGAAUCUUGGAGAGGUCAGUGGAAUUCCGAGUGUAGAGGUGAAAUUCGUAGAUAUUCGGAAGAACACCAGUGGCGAAGGCGACUGACUGGACAAGUAUUGACGCUGAGGUGCGAAAGCGUGGGGAGCAAACAGGAUUAGAUACCCCAGUAGUCCCUGUCUCUUAUAC